AGGUGGUUAGCUCAAUCUGGCAGAGCGCGUGGCCUUGAACCACGAUGUUGGAGGUUCGAACCCUUCACCACCUG
rnacentral:tRNA from 1 species